UUUCCGUAGGUGAACCUGCGGAAGGAUCAUUAUUGGAUUUUGAAACUUCAGGCUGCUGCUGGCUCUCCUCGGAGGGCAUGUGCACGCUUGUUGUCCAUUAUUUCUCCCACUGUGCACAAAUUGUAGACCCUUCAGUAGGCCUAUGUUGUUUUUCACAAUCUCUGAAUGUAAUAGAAUGGUUUUGAAUCUUGGGAAAUACAAUACAACUUUCAGCAACGGAUCUCUUGGCUCUC
rnacentral:misc_RNA from 1 species